AACCAACCUUUUUUGGCGAGACUGCAGAUUUUCUUCGGCUGAGUUUCCUUCACUUGGAACAAAUCUAUUCUCUUUGAUUCAAUUUAUUUGGAAUAUGGAUGGAGAUAAGGAAGAGAAUGACUACCACUACACGUACCAAUGUGGAUGAGAUUACCUAAGAUGAAGACACCCACUUUGGAACUGGGAGAAGAAGGGUAUGCUUUGCACGUGUUUUAUGACUAGCUUUCAAAAUAAAUCUGCACAAGGUAUAUUUUCAGGCUUAUUUUGCAUUAUUAACACAUUCUCCAUCAGCUUAAGUCUAUAAAAUCAACAAAACAAUAAAUCAAGUUUGGAUUUGUAGCAUUUGGGGUUUUCUGAAGUAUAACUGCACUGAAAAUGUAAUAUUUGGCUCUAAAAAGUAAAUAUAUUACUGGAGACCUGAUUCUGUGAGAAGACAUUCUUCUUAAUUGACCUUCCAUGUGCUUGAAAGCAGUCUCUUCCAUUGAUUCUGUAACUUGAUCUGUUUGCAUCCUUAAAUCUACCUGAUUAAGUUAUUCUUCUGCUAGCAUCCAAGGGUGAAAAACUCAUUCAUUCAACUAGCAACUUCUCCCUCAACUUAGUCCCUGUGACACUUAGAAAUAGACUUAGAAUUUUAGUUUUUUCACUUGUACAUUUUUAAAAUUUAUUUCCAUGUGCAGGGAGAGAAGUUGGGACCUUGAGCCAUAAGGACAUUGCAAUCCAGUUUUAAAAUUGAGGUGUUACUACCCCUGAAAAUGGUGACUAAAAAGCCAAGGCUCCAUGAUAUAAAUGCCCAAAGGCCUUGAGAGGUAGAAUUUAAUGGUUCUUAAUGUUAUUCAGGAACUGAGCUAAAUUGUAAAAAUACUUAUAAAUUUGCUUGUUAUGCCUCUUUAGUAAAUGUUUCCUCCAAAAAGCAAUUGAAGUUUUAGUAAUUAAAUGGAACUGGAACACUGGGACUUCUAAAAUCGAAAUAGUGUAAUUGGUGGGAGCUUAAACAAGUGGAAAAGGUGAGAGACUUAAUAAUCAUGGGAGGGGACAAGGGAGGGUGAUGGCACAUGCACAGAGUAACCAUUGUUAUAUUAGGAAAGAAUUAUAAUAAGGCCUUAAAGCAGCUAGAUGGCACAUUGGAUAGAGUUAAAGGAAGGAAUUAAAGGAGUUAAAGUAAGGAAUUAAAUAGAAUUAAAUUAAGGAAGACAUAUUUUCCUAAAUUCUAAUCUGACUUCAAACAUUAACUAUCUGUGUGAUCCUGGGCAAGUAACUUAACUCUGUUUGCUUCAUUUUUUUAAUCUAUA